rfam:Schistocephalus solidus strain NST_G2 genome assembly, scaffold: SSLN_contig0027475
AGCUCAUGGCUCAAUAAUAGAGCGUUCGACUCAAAUACCAAUGGUCGCGGGUUCAAAUCCCACAUGUGCCA